ensembl:lncRNA
GGGAGAGACGCCUUCCAAGGUUAACCACAGAACUGUGUUGGAGGAGGGCUGGUCUGAGGCCUCUGCUGCUCAUUGCCCCAUGUCCUCAGGCUAGACAGUUGAUUUAUGUUCCUCUCAGGAUCCUGGAACCUGGCCUGGCCUUUGCUUCCACCCAAGCUCAAAGACUCUCCUGUUCUAACCCCAGGAGUGACCAGAGCCCUCUAACUGGAGCGAACUUGGCCUGAACACCCUGAGACGCUGGUUGUUUUCUUUGCCAGCUGUGUCAACGCAAGGGUCACUUUAGUGUUCCCAUUUUGGAGAGACAGAUGGCAUAAACGGGACUGUAGCCCACCAGGCUCCUCUGUCCAUAGAAUUCUCCAGGCAAGAAUACUGGAGGGGGUAGCAUUGCAGGUGGACUCCUCUCUGAGCCAGGAUUAAAAUUCAACAUUAAGAAAAAAAAAAAACAACAAAACAAAGAUCAUGGCAUCUGGUCCCAUCACUUCAUGGCAAAUGGAAGGGGGAAAAGUGGAAACAGUGACAUCUUUUUAUAUUCUUGAGCUCCACAAUCACUGCAGACAGUGCCUACAGCCAUGGAAUUAAAAGACACUCCUUGGAAAGAAGUCUAUGACAAACCUAGACAGUGUAUUAAAAAGCAGAGACAUCACUUUUCCAACAAGGUCCGUAUAGUCAAAGCUAUAGUUUUUCCAGUAGUCGUGUAUGGAUGUGUGUGUUGGGCCAUAAAGAAGGCUGAGUGCUGAAGAAUUGAUGCUUUCUAAUGGUGGUGCUGGGGAAGACUCUUGAGUCCCUUGGACUGCAGGGAGGUCAAACAAUUCAAUUCUAAAGGAGUUAAUCCUGAAUAUUUAUUGGAAUGAAUGAUGCUUACGCCAAAGCUCCAAUAUUUUGGCCACCUGAUGCAAAGAGCUGACUCACUGGAGAAGACCCGAUGCUAGGAAAUAUCACAGGCAGGAGGAGAAGGCAGCGACAGAAGAUGAGAUGGUUAGACAGUAUCCCUGAUUCAAUGGACAUGAAUUUGAGCAAACUCUGGGAAAUAGUGGAGGAUGGAGGAGCUUGGCGUGCUGCAGUCCUUGGGGCCAGAGAAAGGCAGAUACAACUUAGUGACUGAACAACAGCAAGUAUAAUUAAGCUCUGUGAAGACAAGGACCUGUGUAUCUUGCCUCCUUUUAAAUUCCUAACAUCCAGCACAGAGCCUGGCACAUUUUUUAGGCACUCAGAUAACUGUUGAACUAACAGGUGUUAGGUUCUAUUCCUUCAGUCUCUGAUUCUUCAUUUUACUUACAGUUUCACUUCCUUGCCUCACCAGCUUGUCAUGUCUCUUCUUGGUAUCUUUUAAGCAUCAGCUCUCACUGGUGCCAUAUUUCCUUUGUGAUGUGAAAAGUCCAAGGACAGUAUGAGGAAGCAGUCUACCCUUUCCAGUCAGCCCCAGAGUGGUGUGAGAAGACUCUCACUGGUCCCCCGGGCUUGUGACCACCCUGGGCCAAUCAAGCGUGGCUGAGCGUCAGAGUCACGUCAUCAGCCCGUGCCCACCUCUAUGGAAGGAUUGCAUCCAUAACAGAAAUCGUGACACUUGUCCUGACCAGCAUAUGUGUGUAGGUGGCCCCAUCCCUGACAUAAAGUUGAUGUUCAGCAAAUAAACAACUAUUAUGUGUUACCAUUGUUACUACAACUCUAUCAGGACUAUGGGCUUCCCUUGUAGCUCAGUUGGGAAAGAAUCUGCCUGCAAUCCAGGAGACCUGGGUUCGAUUCCUGGGUCAGGAAGACCACCUGGAGAAGGAAAUAGCAACUCACUCCAGUAUUCUUGCCUGGAAAAUCUCAUGGACAGAGGAGCCUGGCAGGCUACAGUCCAUGGGGUUGCAGGAGUCGGACACGACUUAGUGACUAAACCACCACCACCAUCAGUACUAUAGUUCAAAAUUGAUUCUCC